rnacentral:piRNA from 1 species
UGGUAAAAAUAAAAGCCUAUGGAUCUAAAC